AUUGAACGCUGGCGGCACGCCUAACACAUGCAAGUCGAGCGGCAGCGAGACUAGUAGCAAUACUAGUUGUCGGCGAGCGGCGGACGGGUGAGUAACACGUAGGAAUCUGCCCUUAAGCGGGGGAUAACCAAGGGAAACUUUGGCUAAUACCGCGUAAUCUCGAGAGAGCAAAGCUGCCCGCAAGGGUGGCACUUGAGGAGGAGCCUGCGUCCGAUUAGCUAGUUGGUGGGGUAAUGGCCUACCAAGGCGAUGAUCGGUAACUGGUCUGAGAGGACGACCAGUCACACUGGGACUGAGACACGGCCCAGACUCCUACGGGAGGCAGCAGUGGGGAAUAUUGGACAAUGGGGGCAACCCUGAUCCAGCGAUGCCGCGUGAGUGAAGAAGGCCUUCGGGUCGUAAAGCUCUUUAGGUUGGGAAGAAGGGUAUUGGCUGAAUAAUCCAGUACUUUGACGGUACUGUAUGAAUAAGCACCGGCUAACUCCGUGCCAGCCGCCGCCGUAAUAC
rnacentral:rRNA from 1 species